GUUCUUGCGAAGCUUGUGUGAAAUAAGCGAACAGUGCGUUGAACAGCUGAAGACAUACGACAAGAAGAUGAUAAUUCCCUGUGCUCGUCCCAAACUUUGGGAGAGAUGGGGCGAUGUGGAGCAGUACAACCUGACGACGAAGAAAUACAUAGAAAAAAUUGUGUUCUGCGGGCUAGACACCGUUCCCGAUAUGAAGAUAGCCUGGAUUGGCCUCCAGACAGCGUUCAAGCUUCUUGGAUAAAAGCUCGACUUUUCUAAAUGCACGACUGUAGCGCUCUUCUUCGAUGCUCUUUCG